UCACAAUUUCGUAAGGGUUUUUGGUCGCCUCCUUCGUAAGCUCCGUCGAUUUUGUCAACUCUUCUUUCCAUACAGCUGAGCUCUUCAAUGGCCGAUCCAUCUCUUCUUCAGCCUCUUCUGUUAGUCUGCAGAGUUUCAAUUUCUGUCUGAAGCUUUCCUCAACAUUUUCGUUUGCUUUGGAUGCGCUGCGCAGGUAUUUCUUUAUCAGUUAACCUAACUUUCUCCGAUUGCUAAUUUGUCUUGCGUAGAUACAGCUAGAAUCAACGAUUUACAUGCUCAGCAAGAGAAAACUACCUAAAACUUACCACCGAAGAAAACACAAAUAGCAUUUCACAUUUUUUCUGGUAGUGCCACAAAUCGGUCAAACUGAUAAAUCUCUAAAAUUGCCCCUCCAAACCGCAAAAGUCCCUUUCACACUUUCACUGCUUAGAACCUGCCGCUUUCAACGGUUUCUGCUUUUCUCUUUUCUCUAUUGUUUAUGCUUUCAAUUUCACAGCUUUGUACUCUUCAGUUUUGGGAUAGCUUUUGCCUUCUUCCUGCUAUGUACACUCUUUUCCGUCUUUAGUUAUGUUAUAGUUGAAAGUAUUUACUGCUUUAUUCUCUCUUAUUUAUGUUAUAGUUGAAAGUAUUUAGUGCUUUAUUCUCUCUUAUUUAUAUAGUUGUGGAGUUAGCAUUCAUGUAUUCUUUUAUUAGCCUGCUUUAUUUCUCGAUAACCUUAAAGUUAUUACUUCAAAUUUAUUUAUUAUGUUUAUAGAUCUUUCUAUGUUUUAUGUCUUCUCUUAAUAAUAUAUUCACUUUAUUCUGAUUUGUACACACAACUAUACUCUUAUUGUGCUUACUGAUCUUUUCUCAAAAUUUAACAGACGAAACCAUUAUGAAAGUUUACAUCACUGCUUCCGUCUGUACAUAAUGAUUGGAUGAACAUGAUUCUCCUUUUUCUAUGGCAGUCUGUGCAACUCGCAACAAAAUCAUCGUUAAUACUUCAUUUAUAUGCUACAAAUGCUUCCCUUUGCCUUCUUCAUUUUCAAUUCUUAGGUAGAGUUGUAUGUUGUCCAAUGCACAUAUUCUUGUUGUUCACUGCAGUGAUAAAGUUCAACAGUCAAUAUAUUGCCCCAAUCUUUUCCUGAAAAUAGUACAUCUUACUUUUCCCCCAUCAAUUUCGUGCACCUGUUGUUGUUUGUUCCUCUUCUGUUAGAUUAAGCUGAUAUCCACUUCACUCUACUGAUGUCAAACACAUUACUAUGCCAACACUGUUGUUCUGCUUUUUAUUUGUUCUUUAUUCUGUUUUUUCUUUCAUACAUACAAAUUUUAUUAUGCUUGUACAGUUUAUAUGUCAUACAACUGAAUAGUAAGAGCUACAACUCUGAAGUAGUAUAGUUUCUGUGCUCAUUUUGCCUGUAGCUGCUUUGCUUCUAUGACAUUGUCAAUCUCCUACUUUCCCAUGCUCACAUUCUACAGCUGUAUAUGAUACAUGCUAUGUCAUCUUUUCUAAUUUUGUAAUUUAUCUUCAUUCUUUGUCCUAACUUGCUUUUGCAAGAGUUUCUUACUGCUUUCUUGCUACAUCAAACAGUCAUUUAUGUGGCUACAAGCUGCAUUUUACUCUGCACUGCUGCUUUCAUUUGAUUCCUUUUCCCCUUUUCUCUAAACAUCUGAAACAAUGUACUGUUUUGUUAGGACUUCAUUAUCUAACUUCAGUUUUAUAUUUUACUCUUUUCUUCUACAGAACUUCCCCCUUUUUUACAUUAAAUGCCUGCAAACCACCUAUUACUGUAAACUAUUAAAUGUUACUUCAUACACUUUUGUUUCCUCAUAAUCUACUGAUUGUUUAUGGUUAAUGUCUGCUCUUUUCAGUUACACAAAAGAUAUACACCAUAGCGUUCAUUUCUCCACCAUGAUUUCUUUGCAUUACUGCAAAACCUGCUACUGAAAUAUUUCCCUAAGCCUUUCUUCUAUUACAAUGUUUUUGUUCGAACAUCAAUCUUUCACAAAAUUUACUGUACAAUGCUAUUGUCAUCUUUUCUUCCUAAAAAAUCUUAGCUCUGCAUAUCCACAUUUUUAUCUAAUUUGUUCUUGCAUGUUUCACAAUAAAAGUUUGGGUGCCUUUCCUUUUUCCAGUAGUUUUACUUCAGCUACUUUGAGCUGUUUCGCGGUUAAAAAUUAACUAGAGGAAACAAUUCAACAUGCAAAUAAACUGUCUGCUGAAAGUUUUCAUUCAACAUGAAAUUUCCAUUCAUUCACAUUAGGUAACAAUACUGAUGAUCAAAUAUCCCAUUUUUGCAUCACUUGACAUUCACACAUAGUCGUAAAUUGUUGAUAUCAUGACAUUCUUGCUCUACAUUGUGCGACACUUUUCUUUAACAGAACAGUGUUACUGAACACGUUGCCCUUUUUCCUCUGUUAAAUUACCCCACUUGUUAAUCCUUACGUGACUUUGAUACUGUGGGAACUGAUAUAGUCUCUUAAUAAUCGGUUUUACUUAUUUCUAAUUUUAACACUUACUAUCCAAAAAUUCCUAUAUGUAUUUACUUAUAUCAGUCUUUGUAUUCACUUCUAUUUCCUGCAACUAUAGUAGUCACAUGCUUUACAUUUUCUUUCUCCGUAUUUUUCUUUCAGUUUACCAAAAUACAAUGCUUUGUAUUCAUGCCUCUUUCUUUUAUUCCAUUUCGGAAUGGAAUAAUUUCACCAAAUGCCGUGCAAAUGUGCAUGUUCACCAUAGCAUAGGUUGUAGGCUUAAACAAGCUACAAUAAUCUUACUCUAACAUUACACAAUAAUGGAAGAUUGUCAAAAAAACAAAAACCAACCAACUGUAACAUCAAUACAACACGGAGGCUUCAAGUGAUAAAAUUAGUAUACACCACAGUCCCAAUUUUGCCAGUAUGACACCAAAUCUUUCCACUGAAAGGUCAAUCACUUCAACUCUGUUGAAGUAGCUUCGGUUUGACAGCUUUAUCAAACAAAAUUCUACGUUAAACACUUGUAGUAGUGAAAUACUCAUGUAUAUAUAAAUUAAAGUGCAAAUGAAAACACACACUUAAAGGGAACACACAGUUUCAUUUUAGGAUUCUUCGUAGGUUGACUAUCGACUUUUUGUCGCUUCCCCUGCAAGUCAGUCCAGCAAAUUUUGGAGCUGCGUUUGUCUCAGCUCUACUCUUCUCAGCUUUCGCGUCAAUAAUUAACUCAUUCUGAUCUUCUGCAUUUCAUUCCACACAAUUCUUUAUCAUCUUAUCUAAUAAAGCUACUCAAAUUUUACAUAAGCUACUAUCAAACAUCUUCAUUUAUUGGGUCUUUUAUUUUUUUACAGAAAUUUAAUAAAUCGGUUGUUUCAGAUUCCUUUAAAUUGCCACAAACAGAGAAAGAGCAAUUGCAGUUCAGGUAACAAUCUUUUUGACCUUAUAUUUGAAUAGCUUAUUGCUUUCUUUCUGUUAGUCAUUCUACAGGUACUUUUUCCCAUUCAUUUUUCCUUUCUUACGUUUUCUUUUGAUUCUUACCUUGCCUAUCAUAAACUGUAUGUUAUUUUCCUAUAUAUAUGCAUGCUUUAGAAUGUAAAUAAAUAUGUAUACAACUUUGCUGUACAGAGUGCAUCUGUCACCAUUUUUUCCAAUUGUGCACCGGUUCUCAAACGGCCAAUAAUACCAGCCACAACUGUCACUGCGAAU
rnacentral:lncRNA from 1 species